rnacentral:rRNA from 1 species
AGCGAACGCUGGCGGUAGGCUUAACACAUGCAAGUCGAACGGCAGCACAGUAAGAGCUUGCUCUUCCGGGUGGCGAGUGGCGGAAGGGAGAGGAAUAUAUCGGAAUCUACUUUUUCGUGGGGGAUCACGUAGGGAAACUUACGCUAAUAUCGCAUACCACCUACGGGUGUAAGCAGGGGAUAUUCGGACCUUGCGCGAUUGAACGAGCCGAUGUCGGAUUAGCUAGUUGGCGGGGUAAAGGCCCACCCAGGCGACGAUCCGUAGCUGGUCUGAGAGGAUGAUCGCCCACACUGGAACGUAGACACCGUCCAGACUCCUACGGGAGGCAGCAGUGGGGAAUAUUGGGCAGUGGGCGGAAGCCUGGUCCAGCCAUACCACGUGGGUGAAGAAAGCCUUCGGGUUGUAAAGCCCUUUUGUGGGGAAAGAAAAGCAGCAGGUUAAUACCCCGCUGUUCUGACGGUACCCAAAGAAUAAGCACCGGCUAACUUCGUG